CCUUCUCAGACAGCGAUGUUUGGUUGUGAGCGAUACUCGGAAGAGUUAGCUUGAAAAUGCUGGCCGGUGGCUGCAGUGGCCGUGGGUCUCUGCUGGACGUCUUCGUAGUAGGUUCUGCCAAUUCGGGGACGGCUGGCGGGGGUGAGCCCGUUGACGGCUGCGGGAAGGCGGCAGUGGCGAACAGUGUUCUUUUAAGU
rnacentral:rRNA from 1 species